rnacentral:rRNA from 1 species
GGGUCAGUAGGUUGGUCGUGCCACCGGUACGUACUGGUCUCACUGAUUCCUCCUUCCUGAAGAACCGUAAUGCCAUUAAUUUGGUGUUGCGGGGAAACAGGACUGUUACCUUGAAAAAAUUAGAGUGUUUAAAGCAAGCUAACGCUUGAAUACAUUAGCAUGGAAUAAUGAAAUAGGACGAUCGAUCCUAUUUUGUUGGCUUCUAGGAUUGACGUA